UAGGAAAUGCUCUGAGUGUCACCCUGAGUGAAACUUGAGCAAAGGAGAGCUCAAAGCCCACCCCACCCCCACAGUGACACACCUCCUCCAACAAGGCCACACCUACUCAAAGAAAGCCAUACCUCCUAAUCAUGGCACUCUCUAUGAGUUUAUAGGAAUUAUGGGGGGCAAU